rnacentral:rRNA from 1 species
ANNAANGGAUUCCCUUAGACAGGCGAGUGAAGCGGGAACAGCCUAAAUUUGAAACUUCAGCGCAAGCUGCGAAUUGUAGUUUAGAGAAACGUUUUUGGGACCGGCCGCCAGUACAAGUUCUUUGGAACAAGGCAUCCAGAGGGUGAAAAUCCGUCUUUGACUGGCAGCUUGGUUCCAUGUGAUACGUUUUCCAAGAGUCGGUUUGUUUGGGAAUGCAGACCAAAAUGGGUGGUAAAUACCAUCUAAAGCUAAAUAUUGGCGAGAACCGAUAGCGAACAAGUACCGUGAGGGAAAGAUGAAAAGAACCUUUGAAAAGAGAGUUAAAAUAGUGCGUGAAAUUGUCAAAAGGGAAACGUUUAAAACCAGUAUUGCGGGCAGAAACCUCAGGUUCCAUUUAUGGUGCUGUAUUUUUCUGUCAGCGAGUCAACAUCAGUUUUGCUUGGAGUAAAACGCCAGGGGAAGGUAGCCCUUCGGGUGUUUAUAGCCUCUGGUAAUGCUCUGGGCGGGACUGAGGACUGGCACGCGUUCUUUGGGUUUACCACAGCCAAGCUUAGGAUGUUGACGAAAUGGCUUUUAAGCGACCCGCUCUUGAAACACGGACCAAGAGUCUAAACAUAUAUGCGAGUAUUUGGGUGGCAAACCUUUAUGCGCAAUGAAAGUGAAAAGUGGGAUCCUUUUGCUUGUGCACCAUCGACCGCGCCAAGGUAUUGCUAUUCUCGGCCGUGCGUUUGUGCAUACAGUGUUGGGGGAUCCCGGAAAGGAUGGUGAACCUAUGCCUGACUAAGGGGGACCCACAGAACCUCUGGUGAGCCCGACCGCCUCUGACCGACAAAUCCCACGCCAAAUUAGGGAUAAGUAGGGGGGAAUGNNUA